rnacentral:rRNA from 1 species
UACGUAGGGUGCAAGCGUUGUCCGGAAUUAUUGGGCGUAAAGAGCUCGUAGGCGGUUUGUCGCGUCUGCUGUGAAAGCCCCGGGCUUAACCUGGGAAUGGCAGUGGAAACUGGCGGGCUUGAGUGUGGCAGAGGGGGGUGGAAUUCCGCGUGUAGCAGUGAAAUGCGUAGAGAUGCGGAGGAACACCGAUGGCGAAGGCAGCCCCCUGGGCUGACACUGACGCUGAGGCACGAAAGCGUGGGGAGCGAACAGG